rnacentral:rRNA from 1 species
GAUGAACGCUGGCGGCGUGCCUAAUACAUGCAAGUCGAGCGAACAGACGAGGAGCUUGCUCCUCUGACGUUAGCGGCGGACGGGUGAGUAACACGUGGAUAACCUACCUAUAAGACUGGGAUAACUUCGGGAAACCGGAGAUAAUACCGGAGAAUAUAUUGAACCGCAGGGUGCAAUAGUGAAAGACGGUUUUGCUGACACUUAUAGAUGGAUCCGCGCCGCAUUAGCUAGUUGGUAAGGUAACGGCUUACCAAGGCAACGAUGCGUAGCCGACCUGAGAGGGUGAUCCGCCACCCUGGAACUGAGACACGGUCCAGACUCCUACGGGAGGCAGCAGUAGGGAAUCUUCCGCAAUGGGCGGAAGCCUGACGGAGCAACGCCGCGGGAGUGAUGGAGGUCUUCGGAUCGUAAAACUCUGUUAUUAGGGAAGAACAAAUGUGUAAGUAACUAUGCACGUCUUGACGGUACCUAAUCAGAAAGCCACGGCUAACUACGUG